rnacentral:rRNA from 1 species
AGAGUUUGAUCUGGCUCAGGACGAACGCUGGCGGCGUGCUUAACACAUGCAAGUCGAACGGUGACCCGGACUUCGGUCCGGCGAUCAGUGGCGAACGGGUGCGUAACACGUGGGCAACCUGCCCCAGACUCUGGGAUAACCCCGGGAAACCGGGGCUAAUACCGGAUACUCCGGCCGUACCGCAUGACGCGGCCGGGAAAGCUCCGACGGUCUGGGAUGGGCCCGCGGCCUAUCAGCUUGUUGGUGAGGUAACGGCUCACCAAGGCGGCGACGGGUAGCUGGUCUGAGAGGACGACCAGCCACACUGGAACUGAGAUACGGUCCAGACUCCUACGGGAGGCAGCAGUGGGGAAUCUUGCGCAAUGGGCGAAAGCCUGACGCAGCGACGCCGCGUGGGGGAUGAAGGCCUUAGGGUUGUAAACCCCUUUCGGCAGGGACGAAGCUAACGUGACGGUACCUGCAGAAGAAGUCCCGGCCAACUACGUGCCAGCAGCCGCGGUA